UACGAAGGGGGCUAGCGUUGCUCGGAAUCACUGGGCGUAAAGGGUGCGUAGGCGGGUCUUUAAGUCAGGGGUGAAAUCCUGGAGCUCAACUCCAGAACUGCCUUUGAUACUGAGGAUCUUGAGUACGGGAGAGGUGAGUGGAACUGCGAGUGUAGAGGUGAAAUUCGUAGAUAUUCGCAAGAACACCAGUGGCGAAGGCGGCUCACUGGCCCGUUACUGACGCUGAGACGCGAAAGCGUGGGGAGCGAACAGG
rnacentral:rRNA from 1 species